AAUGAACACUGGCGGCGUGGUUAAGACAUGCAAGUCGAACGGUUUUUCAGGUGUAGCAAUACAUUUGAAAAGCAGUGGCGAACGGGUGCGUAACACGUGAACAAUCUACCUUUUAGUGUGGAAUAGCUCGGCGAAAGCCGGAUUAAUACCGCAUGUGGUUGCUUCUCGCAUGAGAGGCAUACUAAAGUCAGGGACCGCAAGGCCUGACGCUAUUAGAGGAGUUCGCGGCCUAUCAGCUAGUUGGCGGGGUAACGGCCCACCAAGGCUACGACGGGUAGCUGGUCUGAGAGGACGACCAGUCACACUGGAACUGAGACACGGUCCAGACACCUACGGGUGGCAGCAGUCGAG
rnacentral:rRNA from 1 species